GUAAAAUCUGAUUUGCAGGAUAUCCGACUUGUGGAGCCCAUAUAUCCCUUGUUCCUUAAUAUUUUUGUGCAAAUCUAGUGUCUAAAAUUAACUUCAGAAUCUUAUGAAUCUUUUCCAAUUGGCUUUGCAUUCAUAUCUGUUGUGAUUAAUGAGUUAUGAAUUUUACAAAAAAAUAGUACGAUUCUGUCACUUAGAAAAGUUACGAUUUAUG
rnacentral:misc_RNA from 1 species